UGUUAUACAUUUCUUAAGUAUAAUCAAAGUGAUUCUAAAGUUGAAGUUAAUUGAUAUGCAGAAACUAGCCAAGGAAGAGUUGAUCUGAAUAGGGAUACAUGCAACAGGGCUAAGAGAUUGGACUGGAUGAGAUCAAUGUAAGAGAAUGAAAGCCGAGAAACAUGGUGUUGAUUUCUUAAUAAUCUUAUUUCAAAUUUACAAGUUGGUGAUGAUAUUGGAUUCACGUUAAUGACUGAUAAACAAAAGGGAUUGAUGAAAGAGAUAACUGAGUUGUUUCCAAGGGUGGAUCACAGAGUUUGUGCAAGGCAAUUAUAUGCCAAUUGGAGGAAAGAAAAUCCAAGAUGAGAUCUGCGACAAUCAUUUUGAGGAGUAUACAAAUCAUACAUAAUUGUUGAAUUUGAAGAUAACAUCAAUAAGAUUGACCAUAUCAAAUCUAGUUCCAAUGUAAGUCUACUUAGUAUUGAUCCUGAGCAAUGAUCAAAGACAUUUUUUUUAGUCGGUCUAUAUGUGAUGCAAUUGACAACAAAUUUUCUUAGUCCUUUAAUGCAGUAAUUGCAAAAGCUAGGUCAAUGUCUAUCAUCUCUAUGUUAGAGGAAAUUAGGCAAUAUGUAAUGGAGAGGAUUGUAAACAAUUUGGCCAAAUUUGAAAAUUGGAAUGAACAGUUCUAUCCCAAGGUA